UGAAAGAAACUUCUGUUCAGCCACAGUCCGAGCGUGAUAACAACCGUCGCAGGCAAUGGGAGCAGGUCGCCAAGAGGGGACAGGUGGGAUUCCUAUGG
rfam:Firmicutes bacterium CAG:102 genomic scaffold, scf85